UCUAGAUCUUUACACAAAAUUAAAAUGAAAUGAUAGCAGCAUUGCAGCAGAAUUAGAAGUUAGCAGGUGCCAAGAAAGUGAACACAAGGAACUCCAGCAGCCAUUUUGCCAAGCACACAAACAGACUGAACAGGGUAAAGACAGGACUCAGGAGAUGUAACUAUAUGCUAGCACAAGCGCAAAAUAUUUAGCCUACCUAACUUGUUUAAGUGAAGCACUCAACCUCGGCGACUUAUUAAGAGCCUGUAGUCCCGGGCUGCAGACAGCACGACAGGAAAACUCCCCUUUCAGCUUAAAGUUUGGGUUUGAGGCCUACAGGUGACAAAUGCAGCACCAUGAAGAGCCUCUGAUGGUGGCAACCCCCUUGGCUAGCAGCCAGGCCCGGUUACUCCUCCACAAAGCCUUCCUGAAGACACAACUGGCAGCAGCCACUUGUCAUUUGGAGAAGUGAAAUAACUUAUCGAGUGAGGGCCCCUCUACUUUGAUGACACCUUGUAAUAUUUGCACUUGCCUCAUUUACUGAACCUCGGCCCAGCCCUGCGGUUUACUCUGAACAAGACACCGCUGGCCCCCGGUGUGCGCUGCCUUUCAGCCAUUAGUUAAGGAAAUAUGUAUUGUUCUUGGCUGGUCACUGUUUGGACUGUGCCGUUGUCAGCUCUGCCUGACAUUUGUGUAGUACGGAUUAUAAUGUGGUUCAGUGAGCUAUGCACAAAUUUCAGUUCUGAUGGUGCCAACCUCUCCAGUUUGGGUUUUAUUGUCUGUGUGCCUGAAGUCAGCCCACAUCACAUCUCCUGAGAUGAUACCCUGACAUACUUACCCAUUCAACUCCCUUCCUCAAAACCCCCCGACCUCCCCUAGGAGAUGCAUGGAUGAGCAGGCUUAUUCUCCUCGUGGGGUGUUCCCCAUGCAUGACUGAUGUUGAGAUUAAUAUCCUUGACUGAUUUCCUGCUCCGCAGUGAAGAGAGGAGUAGGCCUAUCAGAGCACAGCCACCCACCUCAGGAGUCUAUUGAUUUUCGCACCAUUCUGACAAACAGAAACCUCCUGGACCAACAAAAUACUGUCUUACUGUCCAUUUAGAUGCCACCUCUUCAGGUCUACAUCAGAUUUUUUUUAAAUAGCUCUGUUUGUCCUUUGUGUGUUUUAUCAAAAUUGAGUCUGCUGGUGUUCAUUGCUAACCGUAUCCACUUAAGAAUAUGGGAAUGAAUAAAAUAUACACAAAUUUC